rnacentral:rRNA from 1 species
GGAAGCAGCAGUGAGGAAUUUUUCACAAUGGACGAAAGUCUGAUGGAGCAAUACCACGUGAACGAUGAAGGUCUUCUGAUUGUAAAGUUCUUUUAUUUAGGAAAAAAAGCGCGCUAGGAAAUGAGCGCGCCUUGAUGGUACUAAUUGAAUAAGUGACAGCUAACUAUGUGCCAGCAGCUGCGGUAAAACAUAGGUCACGAGCAUUAUCCGGAUUUAUUGGGCGUAAAGGAAGCGUAGGUGGGGAGGUUGAUCCAUUGUUAAAGGCAUUUGCUUAACAAAUGUGUGCGAUGGAGAUCGCCUCCCUAGAGUUAAUCAGGGGGUACUGGAAUUCAAUGUGUAGCGGUGGAAUGCGUAGAUAUAUUGAGGAACACCAGAGGCUAAGGCGAGUACCUAGGAUAUAACUGACACUGAGGCUUGAAAGCGUGGGGAGCAAAUGGGAUUAGAUACCCCAGUAGUCCACGCCGUAAACGAUGGGCAUUAGGUAUUUGACAUCUAGUCGAGUGCUGUAGCUAACGCGUUAAAUGCCCCGCCUGGGUAGUAUAUAUGCAAAUAUGAAACUCAAAGAAAUUGACGGGGACCUGAACAAGUGGUGGAGCA